rnacentral:rRNA from 1 species
GCUUAAAACCUAGCCCGACCCCAUCGCAACUUAUGUAACCAAACUUCUUUACUCAACACAAUAAAACAUUUUCAACAUCUAGUAAAGGCGAUUAAAAAAUGUCUAGGAGCCUUAGAAACAGUACCGCAAGGGAACAGUGAAAUAAAAAUGAAAUAACUUUAAAGCACCAAAAAGCAGAGAUCAGACCUCGUACCUUUUGCAUCAUGGUCUAGCCAGUCCAACCAAGCAAAAAGAAAUUUAAGUUUGACCCCCCGAAACUAAGUGAGCUACUUCAAAACAGCCUUUAAGGGCCAACCCGUCUCUGUUGCAAAAGAGUGGGAAGAUUUUCAAGUAGAGGUGACAGACCUACCGAACUUAGAGAUAGCUGGUUAUUCAGGAAAAGGAUCUUAGUCCUACCUUAAGCCCUCAAAUAAUUUUUAAUACACCAACGGGCCUAAGAGCUAUUCAAAUAAGGUACAGCCUAUUUGAAACAGGAUACAACCUCAACAACAGGGUAAUGAAUUAACAACACAUGAUAAAGUGGGCCUAAGAGCAGCCACCUUCAAAAAAGCGUUAAAGCUUAAUCAUUAAAUUAUUCCAAUUCCACUAAUUCACCAAAACCCUUACCCAAUACUGAAUGAUUCUAUACAUAUAUAGAAAACUAUAUGCUAGAACUAGUAAUAAGAAGGAGACCUUCUCCAAAAUAUGAGUGUGAGCCGAAAUGAACAACUCACCGGCACUUAACGCAACUGAACCUAUAGUAGUAACUUUACAAGAAAACCCUACCCAAACAUGCGUCAACCUUACACUAGAAUAUUCUGAAAGAUAAAAGAGAAGGAAGGAACUCGGCAAACUAUUAACCCCGCCUGUUUACCAAAAACAUCGCCUCUUGAAAAAUAUAAGAGGUCCAGCCUGCCCAGUGACAAAGUUAAACGGCCGCGGUACCCUAACCGUGCGAAGGUAGCGCAAUCACUUGUUCUUUAAAUGAGGACUAGUAUGAAUGGCAUCACGAGGGUUAUACUGUCUCCCCUCUCUAAUCAAUGAAACUGACCUCCCCGUGAAGAGGCGGGGAUAAUACUAUAAGACGAGAAGACCCCAUGGAGCUUAAAACUCAGUACCAAUUACCUAACUAUACUCCAUCUUAACCCGGUAAUUAUGGCCCCUAGUUUUCGGUUGGGGUGACCGCGGAGUAAAACAAAACCUUCGGGAUGAAAGCACCCACCCUCCUUAUCAUGGAGCCUCAGCUCAAAGAAUCAAAAAAGAACAAAAAUUGAUUCAAUCAACCA